rnacentral:rRNA from 1 species
GACGAACGCUGGCGGCGUGCUUAACACAUGCAAGUCGAACGAUGAAGCUGGAGCUUGCUCUGGUGGAUUAGUGGCGAACGGGUGAGUAACACGUGAGUAACCUGCCCUGGACUCUGGGAUAAGCGUUGGAAACGACGUCUAAUACCGGAUAGGACCUCGGAUCGCGUGAUCUGGGGUGGAAAGUUUUUCGGUCUGGGAUGGACUCGCGGCCUAUCAGCUUGUUGGUGAGGUAAUGGCUCACCAAGGCGUCGACGGGUAGCCGGCCUGAGAGGGUGACCGGCCACACUGGGACUGAGACACGGCCCAGACUCCUACGGGAGGCAGCAGUGGGGAAUAUUGCACAAUGGGCGCAAGCCUGAUGCAGCAACGCCGCGUGCGGGAUGACGGCCUUCGGGUUGUAAACCGCUUUUAGUAAGGAAGAAGGGGCUUCGGCCUUGACGGUACUUGCAGAAAAAGGACCGGCUAACUACGUGCCAGCCGCCGCGGUAAAAC